rnacentral:rRNA from 1 species
GACGGGGGGAGCAAGUGUUCUUCGGAAUGACUGGGCGUAAAGGGCACGUAGGCGUGAAUCGGGUUGAAAGUGAAAGUCGCCAAAAAGUGGCGGAAUGCUCUCGAAACCAAUUCACUUGAGUGAGACAGAGGAGAGUGGAAUUUCGUGUGUAGGGGUGAAAUCCGUAGAUCUACGAAGGAACGCCAAAAGCGAAGGCAGCUCUCUGGGUCCCUACCGACGCUGGGGUGCGAAAGCAUGGGGAGCGAACAGG